CGAAGGGGGCUAGCGUUGUUCGGAAUCACUGGGCGUAAAGCGCACGUAGGCGGAUCUUUAAGUCAGGGGUGAAAUCCCGAGGCUCAACCUCGGAACUGCCUUUGAUACUGGGGAUCUCGAGUCCGGGAGAGGUGAGUGGAACUGCGAGUGUAGAGGUGAAAUUCGUAGAUAUUCGCAAGAACACCAGUGGCGAAGGCGGCUCACUGGCCCGGUACUGACGCUGAGGCACGAAAGCGUGGGGAGCAAACAGG
rnacentral:rRNA from 1 species